AGCCGAACUCUUAUGAAACUAAGUAGAGCAGCAGCCGGAGACAAACACCGGAGACAGACACCGGACAGACACCGGACACACACCGGAGACCCACACCGACCUGCCGACCUGCACUCAGCCGGGAGAUGCGUCUGUCCCUGGGCCUGACAUAGACUUCAGCUCCGGGAGGCAGCUCCAGAAUAAAAUGACCCGAAACUCCAUCCACUGGUUCCGCAAGGGCCUUCGUCUCCAUGACAACCCCGCGCUGCAGGAGGCGGUCCGGGGGGCGGACACGGUGCGCUGCGUUUACUUCCUGGACCCGUGGUUCGCAGGAUCGUCCAACGUCGGGGUCAACAGGUGGAGUGAAACCAGGAGACGAUCACUGAAGCUGGUAAAUCUGCGAACACUUUUUAAACCUGGGAGUCGACCGACGCUCUUCUUUGACUCGGAGAAACGUU